ACUUAAAUAAUUUUAAAUAAAAUAUUGAUUUGUGGGGUCAAAAAUAUGAAAAUACAUUCAUUUUAAGUU
rnacentral:tRNA from 1 species